rnacentral:rRNA from 1 species
UACAGAGGUCUCAAGCGUUGUUCGGAUUCAUUGGGCGUAAAGGGUGCGUAGGUGGCGUCGUAAGUCGGGUGUGAAAUCUCGGGGCUUAACUCCGAAACUGCAUUCGAUACUGCGGUGCUUGAGGACUGGAGAGGAGACUGGAAUUUACGGUGUAGCAGUGAAAUGCGUAGAGAUCGUAAGGAAGACCAGUGGCGAAGGCGGGUCUCUGGACAGUUCCUGACGCUGAGGCACGAAGGCCAGGGGGAGCAAACGGG